rnacentral:rRNA from 1 species
CUUUAUCCGUACUCGCGAAUGCAUCNUAGAUUAGUAGUUUGAUCAUGGCUCAGAUUGAACGCUGGCGGCAGGCCUAACACAUGCAAGUCGAGCGGCAGCACAAGUGAGUUUACUUAUGAGGUGGCGAGCGGCGGACGGGUGAGUAAUGCCUAGGGAUCUGCCCAGUCGAGGGGGAUAACAGUUGGAAACGACUGCUAAUACCGCAUACGCCCUACGGGGGAAAGGAGGGGACCUUCGGGCCUUCCGCGAUUGGAUGAACCUAGGUGGGAUUAGCUAGUUGGUGAGGUAAUGGCUCACCAAGGCGACGAUCCCUAGCUGUUCUGAGAGGAUGAUCAGCCACACUGGGACUGAGACACGGCCCAGACUCCUACGGGAGGCAGCAGUGGGGAAUAUUGCACAAUGGGGGAAACCCUGAUGCAGCCAUGCCGCGUGUGUGAAGAAGGCCUUCGGGUUGUAAAGCACUUUCAGUAGGGAGGAACAGGGUGAGUCUUAAUACGGCUCAUCUGUGACGUUACCUACAGAAGAGGGACCGGCUAACUCCGUGCCAGCAGCCGCGGUAAUACGGAGGGUCCGAGCGUUAAUCGGAAUUACCUGGG